ensembl:lncRNA
AAAGACCAAGAGGAAAGGAAGCACAAUCAGAGGAGGCGAGAAGAGGAUUAGCGCUUUGUUUACGCUAAUUGUAGCCUCGGCUAUUUUGGUGUUCUCCUAGUCCGACUCUCCCAAAUCUUCCGUUUUCAUUUUGAAUGUGAGGAAGAAGUGGCUUUGAGGAGAGAUGGAUUUACAGCGAGUGAUUCAUCAGUGCUUUGCUGUGAACACUUUGAUGAGACGGGUCAGAUUGUCCCACUCCGAGAUGGUGUUAUUCCAUCAGUCUUCAGCUUCCCGGUUCACCUCCAAAAAUUGGAGAAGGGCAGGUCUACCUCCACCUCCAGAAGAGCUGAUGAAUGUCUGUCCGGCCUCUCAGGAUUCCCAAGAAAUGGCAACCUCACACCCACAGCCUCAGCCUAAUGAUGUGCAUAUUUCUACUUUAAACAUCAUAUAAUAAUGUUUUGGACAUAUUAGAAUCUCACUUGUUUGCUGCCACUCAUAUUAAACACACUUACAAAUAAACCUUUUUUUAAAAUAUUUUAAUCUGUGUAUAUUACGGUUGCUUUGUUUUGUCUGUUAUGUAAAGGGUCUUUGAGCACUGUGUAAAGUGCUAUAUAAAUAUGUAUUAUUUUUUAUUAUUAUUAUAAGGUGCUGAGAGCUGCAGAGAGGGUGAUCCAACAACACAAGCUCCUGAGGCGUCGACAGUCACACACAUCGUCCGACAGGAGAUUGGAACGGAUGAUGGUUUUUUGCUUGGGGAACACAUGAAGACACAGUUUGGCAUCGACAACCAUCACUCAGACUUGUUGUCAUUGGUUGUCAAGAAGCUCUGCAAGACAGUCC